rnacentral:rRNA from 1 species
GGAUCUUCGGCAAUGGACGCAAGUCUGACCGAGCAACGCCGCGUGUGCGAUGAAGGCCUUCGGGUUGUAAAGCACUGUCGAGGGGAAACAAGCCGUAAGGUUGAGUGACCCCUGGAGGAAGCACGGGCUAAGUUCGUGCCAGCAGCCGCGGUAAGACGAACCGUGCAAACGUUAUUCGGAAUCACUGGGCUUAAAGGGCGCGUAGGCGGGUAAUCAAGUCAAUGGUGAAAGCCUCCAGCUUAACUGGAGAAGUGCCUUUGAUACUGAUUGUCUAGAGUGAGGUAGGGGCAUGUGGAACUUCCGGUGGAGCGGUGAAAUGCGUAGAUAUCGGAAGGAACGCCAGUGGCGAAAGCGAUGUGCUGGACCUUUUCUGACGCUGAGGCGCGAAAGCUAGGGGAUCAAACGGGAUUAGAUACCCCAGUAGUC